rnacentral:snRNA from 1 species
AGCUUUGUGCAGUGGCAGUAUUGUAGCCAACGAGGUUUAUCCGAGGCGUGAAUAUUGCUAACUGAAAACUUUUCUAUAAAGG